GACAGAGGGGCAAGCGUUGCUCGGAAUUACUGGGCGUAAAGGGCGCGUAGGCGGUCCGGUAAGUCGGCUGUGAAAGUCCAGGGCUCAACCCUGGGAUGCCGGUCGAUACUGCCGGACUAGAGUUCGGAAGAGGCGAGUGGAAUUCUCGGUGUAGCGGUGAAAUGCGUAGAUAUCGAGAGGAACACCUGCGGCGAAGGCGGGUUGCUGGGCUGACACUGACGCUGAGAGACGAAAACUAGGGGAGGCAAAUGAG
rnacentral:rRNA from 1 species